UACGUAGGGGGCGAGCGUUGUCCGGAUUUAUUGGGCGUAAAGAGCUCGUAGGCGGUUUGUUGCGUCGGCUGUGAAAACCUGCGGCUUAACUGUGGGCUUGCAGUCGAUACGGGCAGACUUGAGUUCGGCAGGGGAGACUGGAAUUCCUGGUGUAGCGGUGAAAUGCGCAGAUAUCAGGAGGAACACCGGUGGCGAAGGCGGGUCUCUGGGCCGAUACUGACGCUGAGGAGCGAAAGCGUGGGGAGCGAACAGG
rnacentral:rRNA from 1 species